UUUAAAAGGGUCAGGAAUACACAGCAGGUCACUAUUCUACAAGAACUAUCUGGCAACGUGAAGAGCAAACUUGGAGCAGAUUAGUACAGCACCCAGCGUUGACCCAAGAAGGUGUACCCAGAACCACAUCUCAGCUCUGGGCAGUUCUGACCAUCUUCAGAUACCAAAGAGCCUCAGAAAUAACAACAUACCAGAAAGUCCUCGGCACAUGGAUUUUGGGGCAUAAAGAGAAUGUAAGAUCUGCCAUCUAAAUAAAAGUCUCCCCCAGCCGUACCACACUAUGAGGAUUUCAGCCAGAUGCUGCUGCUUCUUGGACUGUGGGGCUGGAACUGCAAAGUAGUUGAAUCAAGAGAGUGGCCAUACAGAAGGAAGUUGUGGAGGAAUAUGGAAAAGAUCUGUCUGCAUCACAGCACUCGGUUCAUCUCCUUGGCAGGGGCCUUUCUAUCAGCAGCAGCGCCUAAUCAUUAAACAGAUGGGCUGAAAAACCACUUUGCAAUAUAGAUGGGCUGAGAAGAGAAGCAUAGUUUUAAAUCCACGUAUAGGCUGUUCAUUGACAGAGUUUUUCCAGAGGGCUGUCUUUCCUGGGGUCCAGCUGACCACAUGGCACAAAGAGGUCCGUCCAAUAACAGUGGGAUCCCUGCCCAUGCCUGAUGUGCACAUCUCCUGAAAAGCUUAAGCAGGCAUCACGAGAUGCUCCUCCCCAACUGAAGGUGGCAGUGAGGGACGUCUGCCUUUCUCAUGGUGUCACACAGUGAGGUUGGGACACUUUGCCAAUGCAAGUGCAUCUACACCAGGGUGUUUUUGCCCACUGAGUAGCCCACUGGCUACGGUUUCAAUUUUUUCAUGCAUCCAACUGGCAGAGGAAAAAAAAAAAACAGAAGUCUAUCUAGUGCCCAACAUCACACUUGCUGAAUUUUUCUUUCUUUUCCCUAUCAGAUCCUUGUUUCACUGUUUUAUUUAUAGUACGUUCCAGGCCACGAUCAAGUGCUCUGUUUUGUAAGAUGUGGGCAAAAAGACAACAAAAACCCCUUCGGGAACCUGAAGCAAAGCUGUCCCUGCUUACUGUGGAAAGACAAGGCCCAAGAGGAUGUGGUGACUGAAGGUCUUGACAGCAAAAUAUCCCUGAACUCCUGCACCUACAAAGCCCUUUUCCUUGGAGCGGUCCUGGAGCAUUCUCAUCUCCCAGGAAUGCAACGCCCUUCUUAGAAGCACAAGAUGGAUAAGCCAUUGGGAGCACGCUGCUUGGGAGAACACUGAGACUGGGGAGUUCUCAAUGGGAUCGGGAGAGCCAUAGUUUCACAAAGAGGUUAUUCACCCAUUUGUUGUGGUUAUUGAUUUCUUAAAAAUCAGGGUCUAUUUUUUAUCCUGGUCCUCCAGCUUCCCAGCUGUGUUUCAGCUCGGUGUUCUUUCUGAUCAUCCAGUCACCUCCACGUGCUCCUGCAGGAACGGCCGUGCAGGACAUGCAGGACUGCGCUAGUCCUUCACUUGCUGCAUCUCACCUCUAGUGGUGGCUUGAAGGCAUGAGUGCUUCCAGUGGAAACACACAAGUCAAACACUUAGGAAACAGCCAGGCCAUCUGGUAUUUUUGUCACUCCUACUGACACUUAGUGUUGCGUGGGUGCCUGAGUGCAGGAUCUGAAGUGUUUCUUGCCUGAUUUUCAUUUGUGUAGUAUGCAGGAUCAGCUGAUGUUUGUCUUCAUGUGAUUCGCCUUUGAUCCUUCUUUGAGCCCUACUAAGUAACCCUCAUUAUGUGUCAAGUGACUGUGACUAUGACUGUAGGAAUGCACCAUCCGAACACACGAGAAUGAAGUUUCUGGCUCCUCUGAUUGUCAAACAGAGGGGAAAACAAAGUGGCUGAUUUUCCUUCCUUUACAUAACUACUCUAUGUGGACACUAAACUGAGAUCUGGGGCAAGAGCUGAGCUGCCUCAUGCAUCCACUUCCAUUAAAAGAGUUGCUGGUACCUAACAGAGGUGGAGAUCCAAAGUGCCCCUAGGGAAAGCACUUGUAUUUCAUAUUGCUUGUAUUUCAUUAGAGAUGAAGAUUAAUUCAGCUACUCUAUCUAUUCAUUUAAUUGUGUGUAACUUGGGGCCAUCAAAUCAGACCUCCCAGAAGACCUGAGUGAAGCCUUCACUCUCAGAAGAAAACACAUGAUGUGAGAUCAUCUCCUCUACGAGGUGACAAAGCUCAGGUGCUGUUUACUACUGAACGGGGUACUCAAAGAUUUGCUAGGUGUAUCAGCAAAGCAUGAGCUCAACAUGACCAAACCUGCAGGAGGGGAUACCUUAUCACUGGGGAGUGUGCCAAAGGCUGGAGAAGUCUGAAACAAGAGCAGACGCUGUAGGACUGCUCGGGGACGUGGUAGAAAAGGCACUGCAGAAGUCCAAUGGAAGUGUGUACCUUUUCCCCCAAUAAACACAGAUGUUAUCAUGCGCUCAAACCAUCUUAGGGAGAAAAUGGGGGCAUUUCCCACGCACAAAAGGAAUGGAGAUAAAUGAACUAUUUACAGGGUGCAGGUUGCCUAGAAAGCAGGCUCCCAUUCUACAAAAGGAAAAACCUCUUUUGUUUGAACUCCAUGCGAUAUCAAGUAGGACGAAGCACUGGGACAUGAGUUACAAACAAGAUAGCUGUUGCUAUUCAUUCUGUUUGCUCGGAGAGGCAAUCCCACGCAGCAGCAUCCAGAACGUGGUGUCUGCCAGUCAAAUUAUGAUGAGAAGAGCCAGAGUUUACCGCUUCAGCACGAGCUGAACAGUGUCCUCUUCCACCAGUGACUCUGCUUCCAGUUCUCCUUGUUUGCUGGUGAACUUCUGGAUAGUAAUGUUGACCUUCAGCUGUUGUCUGGAAGCUUUUCCUCUGUUUCAAGCAAGUGAUUUGAAUUCUUUCUAACUUCCGAUCUACAAGAAUAGGAUUCCUAAAAUUUUACGGAGCUGUUGUGAAGAUUGUUGAUGUGCAUGAGAUGCUCGUGUUGGGACUGUGGGCCAAGGAAGCGUCCCAAGUCUGUUCUCAGGGGAAGAGAAACAACAUUCUUCGAUUCUGAAGAAGCAUUACUGCGAAUACACAGUGAAGUGAAGAGGUCAAUAUACCCAUCUAACGAAUUUCCUACAAAUGUUGGUGAACAGCAGGUAGCUUUGCAGAAACAGAAGCCAGUUCAUAGGCAAGAAGACAGCAGAUGAAACAGAUGCAAUGAAUUCUGAAAUAUCAACAGGAAGGGAAGAACAACAGCAGGUCCCAAAGUCGCGACUGUGGCCACAACCAUGAGCCUUGACCUCAAGGAGCCAAGGGCCGCCUGCCUCCCACCCUCUGCUCCUUCCUCCAUUUUGGGGAUGUAACCAUUCACACACACUGUGCUCCUCAGGCAGGACUGCGCCUGACCAUGAUUACCCCGAGACCUCAUUCUCCCACCCCAUGGUGCUAUUUCCCUGCUAGGCACCUUCAGUCUGCAACACAGGCUUCUGCCCAGUGUGAUUUUAUAAGAGUCAGCCACUACGCUUCAGCAGACUUUGGUUGCCUCUGAGUUCACAGCUAUAAAUAGGGGCUUUCAUAAGGUGGUGCCCACAGAAGUUCUGGCACAAACAGUUUUUAACAUUUUGAAUGAGUGGGGCCUGAUGGGAAGCCUGCUGCCUGCCGGCCUUGGCAAGGUCCACAAACCUGUUUGGGUUGAAACAUGCCGAUAUCCAGCAGAAUGAGCUGUUAGCCUGGCUGAGACCAUUUCAGCUUAUUGCAUAAGUGACUUAGACAGAUGUUUAACGGAUUUAUGUAAGGCUGGCUGAAGUCAAACACAGGUGUAAGAGAUGAAAGGGGAAUGGGAAAAAUGCACUGCGAAGAUCAUUUUUCCAUUUCUGUGUUUUUUUCCCCUGGCUGUUGAUUCUAUUGCCCUUUCCAUGCAAUUUCUGUGCUGUGAGUCACCAAGAAAAAAAUACACACACACAAAAACCCACUAUUUUUGUUUACUACCAGCAAGGAAUGAAGUUUUACACAAAGCUGUGCUGUAGCUGUACUCACUUCUCCUAUUUCAGCUAUCCGGUUUAUUUCUGCUCCAGCCCAGCUGCAUUUUGCUCCCAAGAUGUGCUGAGCAGACAUUGCCACUCUGAGGAAGGGGAGAAAAUGAAAGGUAGAUCCUUGCUGCAGACUGCUCAUUAUUUGGCCUUCCCAGCGUGCUGUACAUGACAUUUUCGUGCUUGGAUUUGGAAUGUCUCCAGCAGCGACAGCAUAAGCUUUCUCCUCCUGUGGUGCAGUGCUGGUGCUCAGACCAAAGUCGGUCAAGAUGUGGUCCUUCAGGAGCAUUCACCAGCUGAGCAUCUCUUGCAACCUUCUCCCAUGGCACUGCACAAGAAUAUUGUCUGUAGAGACAAAAUAUUGCCUUGCACCAGGUCCUCACCCCCAACCCCAAAUGCUGGGCACCCCCCACCAAGCAGCUUCAGUGGUGAGGAACAGGGAGGAAGGAGCAGUGAGGGCCUUGGGAUGUGCCAAAGUGGGCUUCUGCCAGCCCAUCUAAAACACGUGGACAGUCUCCUCGCUCUCCAGGGGCACACGGCAAUGAAUGCUCCUUGGCAUGCUUCACACAGGUGAUUUAGGCACAAGGCAGGUCUGCAGUACUGAUGAAUAUUUCUAGGGGUAUCUCACCUGUCAAACCAUCCCCAGCAACUGAAGGUAAAACCCAGUGCAUGUUUUUCUGUUGGCCAGUCACUGAAAUGUGUUAGCUGAGGAUGAUGAGAGGGCGUCUUUAGCCCUGGGUAGCCAAGGGAUGGUGUUGCCAUUGUUGCAGUUGGCCAGGCACUGGCGCAGCUGCCCAGGGAGGUGGUGGGGUCACCACCCCUGGAGGUGUUCAAGAACCAUGGAGGUGUGACACUGAGGGACAUGGUCAGUGAGC
ensembl:lncRNA